CAAAGAGAUAAUUUCAAAGUUUUGGCUCAAAUAAAGCCCGGAUCUAACAAGGGAGGGGAAGUGUUAGCAUGCUGACCCUAAUUGACCCUAUGCUAACUUAGCUUAAUGCGACUAUAGCAAUUGAAAGCCAAACAUUGUUAUGCUAAUAUGAGAUUCUUAAUUAAUACCAACAAAUUUUAUCCCUGAAUUUGAUUACUUAAACAAAGAACAAACCAAAGAAACUAAUCUGUAUAGAAGCUAAACAACUGACAAACAAUUUAACUUGUGGCUACCAUGAAUACAUGAAUGAACCAUUCCUAAUGACCAACUUGCAUUUAACAAUAUAGCAUAACACUUUUAAAACAUGAUAGGCCAUCAUUAUCGACAAUUGUUCUAAUACAGAAUACCACACAAACAAAGUACAUAUUUUAACCAAUCUUAAAGCUAAAGUCACAUAUUGAAGAAAUAACUGCUAAGGUUCCUGAAAGUCCCAAAUUAUCAUAUGUUUAGCCGCAUACCCUAAACACAAACUUAGCUAAUAAUCCAUGCUUGGUCAAUUCUUCGCCUCAGCAGUCCAUAAUUCAAUUAUAAUAUAGUAAUCUAGCAAAUCCAACUGAAGACAACCACACCACAUUGAAUCAGAUGAUCAAACAUACAGACAUCAUGAGGAGAAACUGUAAAUAAGCAACAUAAUCUGACACAAUGCUUCAAACUCUCAUUUUCAUUUUGUUUCUUCACUUCACAACCAAAGAGUUAUAGAGUUGUGUACCUGAAAAUGAGAGUAAAGAGGUAAGGUUCAGCAGUAGCAACAGGAUCCCAACAGCAAAAUAAACCAUGAAACAACUUUGAACAAAAAAACGGAUGCCCAGCAGUCACAAAUCCAUAACCAGAAUUUCAAACCAACUUUUAAAAAUACCAAACUUAAAUCAUCUCAACCCAAGUAGCUCAGAAACCAGUUCAGGAAUCAGAAAUUUGAGACAUCACAAAAGGAUUAGAUGGAACAGUAAUUUCAACAAAAUUCCAAACUAAAACACCUUCGAAAACCCACAAUGAGGAUCUAUUUUCGGGUGUUUGAAAAGAAACAGAAAAUCUCUACAAUUUCAAUGAAAUAGUAGCUUUUAUCACCUCUAGUCAUUAAUGAGUUUUUUCUGGAUUUUUAUCACUCUUUU
rnacentral:lncRNA from 1 species